rnacentral:rRNA from 1 species
AAAGGUGAAAAGGACCCCGGGAGGGGAGUGAAAGAGAACCUGAAACCGUGGACCUGCAAGCGGUCAGAGCCCGAGAGGGUGAUGGCGUGCCUUUUGUAGAAUGAGCCUGCGAGUCACCGUGUGCGGCGAGGUUAAGGGAUAGGAGUCCCGGAGCCGCAGGGAAACCGAGUCUGAAGAGGGCGCAUAGUCGCAUGCGGUGGACCCGAAGCCAAGUGAUCUAGCCAUGGCCAGGCUGAAGCUGCAGUGAAAUGCAGUGGAGGGCCGAACCUAAAUCCGCUGAAAAGGGUUGGGAUGAGCUGUGGCUCGGAGUGAAAGGCUAAUCAAACUUGGAGAUAGCUGGUACUCUCCGAAAUAGCUUUAGGGCUAGCGUCGCCUGUAUUGUCGCGGAGGUAGAGCACUGGAUAGGUGAGGGCCCGUCACUGGGUACCGAUCUUAACCAAACUCCGAAUGCCGCGACACGUUGGGCGGCAGUCAGACGGCGGCUGACAAGGGCCGUCGUCGAGAGGGAAACAGCCCGGACCGCCGGCUAAGGUCCCCAAGGCGCGCUGAGUGGGAAAGGAAGUACGAUUGCACAGACAGCCAGGAGGUUGGCUCAGAAGCAGCCACCCCUUCAAAGAGUGCGUAACAGCUCACUGGUCGAGUAGUCGUGCGCCGAUAAUGUAACGGGGCUAAGCGCGCCACCGAAGCCGCGGGACGCAGACGAGGUCUGCGUCGGUAGGAGAGCAUUGCGUAUGCGGACGAAGCGGGACCCGCGAGGGCCCGUGGACGCGGCGCAAGAGAGAAUGCAGGCAUGAGUAACGAAAAGACGGGUGGGAUCCCCGUCCGCCUGAAGCCCGAGGUUUCCAGGGUAAAGGUAAUCUGCCCGAGGGUCAGUCGGCCCCUAAGGCGAGGGCGAGAGCCGUAGCCGAUGGGAAGCGGGUCAACAUUCCCGCACCUCCCGGAGAUUCGACGGGACGACGCAUAGGGCGAAGCGCAGCCGGGCGAUGGUAGUCCCGGCCGAAACGGCGAGCCGAAGAGGGGCCCAGGCAAAUCCGGGACCUGAGGCGAGCCGCGAGCGAGGCCCCCCACGGGGGGAGGAAGUGCGCCGAGUCGUCGUGCCGAGAAAUAGUCCCUAAGGUUCGUCUCCGGGGGACCGUACCGCAAACCGACACAGGUGGGCGAGCUGAGAAUGCGCAGGCGCUCGGAAGAAUCCGCGUUAAGGAACUCGGCAAAAUGCAUACGUAACUUCGGGAUAAGUAUGGCCCUUCGGGGCUGCAGAGAAAUGGCCCAUGCGACUGUUUACCAAAAACACAGGUCCAUGCGAACCGGCAACGGGAAGUAUAUGGACUGACACCUGCCCGGUGCUGGAAGGUCAAGGGGAGCCGUCAGGCAACGAAGCGGCGAACCCAAGCCCCAGUAAACGGCGGCCGUAACUAUAACGGUCCUAAGGUAGCGAAAUUCCUUGUCGGGUAAGUUCCGACCCGCACGAAUGGUGCAACGACAUGGGCGCUGUCUCAACGUGGAAUCCGGUGAAAUUGAAGUCCAGGUGAAGAUGCCUGGUACCCGUGGUCAGACGGAAAGACCCCGUGAACCUUUACUUCACCCCGGCAUUGGGAGCUGGGCAGGGAUGUGUAGGAUAGGUGGGAGGCAUUGAGGCGUGGGCGUCAGCCUGCGCGGAGCCGACGGUGAAAUACCACCCUUGCCUGUCCA